UUGAAAGGGAAACGAUUGAAGUCAGUCGUUCCUUCGGGUAAUCAGCCUUUCGGGUGUGAUUCUGUGGAGUGUGAGGAGCUUAAACACCUUCAUGUUUUGCAUAUUCGUACUCUUGGGUGUACUUGCCCGUGUGGUUGGUUAACAUCAAUUUUGGUGGUCAUAAAAUGACUGGAGGAAUGUAGCUUCGAUCUUGUAUUGAAGUGUUAUAGCCUUCGGUAGAUGUGAUGAUCGAGAUUGAGGAUUGCAACGGAAUCCUUCGGGGCUACCUGUCUGGUCUCUGAUCGUUGCUCUGGUGCCGAAAGCUUGCUUACGGUUAUCAAAGUCGAUGGUCAAUAGGUUAGAACGGGUUAAAUUCGUUAAGGAUGUUGACGUA
rnacentral:rRNA from 1 species